AAAGUUGUUGCAGUUAAAAAGCUCGUAGUUGGAUUUCGGGACGGCACGGUCGGUCCGCCGCAAGGUGUGUCACUUGCCGGGCUGUUCUUCCUCGCAAAGACUGCGUGUGCUCUUAGCUGAGUGUGCGCAGGACUUGCGACGUUUACUUUGAAAAAAUUAGAGUGUUCAAAGCAGGCCAUCGCUUGAAUACAUAAGCAUGGAAUAAUGGAAUAGGACUUUGGUUCUAUUUUGUUGGUUUCUGGAACCGAAGUAAUGAUUAAGAGGGACUGUUGGGGGCAUUCGUAUUUCGUUGUCAGAGGUGAAAUUCUUGGAUUUACGAAAGACGAACUACUGCAAAAGCAUUUGCCAAGAAUGUUUUCAUUAAUCAAGAACGAAAGUUAGAGGAUCGAAGACGAUCAGAUACCGUCCUAGUUCUAACCAUAAACGAUGCCGACUAGGGAUCAGAGAGUGUUAUUGGAUGACCUCUUUGGCACCUUAUGGGAAACCAAAGUUUUUGGGUUCCG
rnacentral:rRNA from 1 species